GCGCCCCUAUAUAUAUAUAUAUAUAAUAUUCCAGUAUUUCUAUAUUGAGGUGGGGAAAUUUUCAACCAUUGGCAAACUCCGAUUAAGCUCCGUAUUUUGCAGUUCCAUAUGACAUCUUAAAUUGUUUCUGGCACGAUGCCCAAAAGCUGCGGAUCGGGCAAACAAAAGAUGAACAUAUGAGAGUUAGCACUUGCUUCGAGGCAUUUCUUAUUUAUUGUACACGUAUGUGUGUCUAGUGCAUAUGCAUGCCGCACGAAGACCUUUUUCAUAGGAUCGCCGGCGAACUUCAACGUCCAGUUGACAGGAGGUAAUGAUGCGUGCAAAAUCGUCCUGGCCGAUGAGACAUAUCGUGACGGCGCGGAUCCCUCAUGUUAACCCAGCUCACGCUCAUUGGGACGAAAUAGUAGAGGGCAAUGAUUACAUGUUAGCGGAGCGUUGUCCCCGAAAGUGAUAUAUAUCUCUUCGGAAACAGGAUAAACCAUUGCGACUUUUUCAGCUUCUCUCGGGCUAGGGCAGUGUGUGCAAAUAACUUAGCUUUCUCUAGCGAGAAUUGGCUUAUAAAAGUCACUACCAGCUGGAGAAAUAGAAAGACAUACGUGUAUAUUAACCCCUAUUAAUACAAAGUCA
rnacentral:sRNA from 1 species